UACGUAGGUGGCAAGCGUUGUCCGGAAUUACUGGGUGUAAAGGGAGCGUAGGCGGGUCAGCAAGUUGAAUGUUAAAUCUACCGGCUCAACUGGUAGCAGCGUUCAAAACUGUAGAUCUUGAGUGAAGUAGAGGCAGGCGGAAUUCCUAGUGUAGCGGUGAAAUGCGUAGAUAUUAGGAGGAACACCAGUGGCGAAGGCGGCCUGCUGGGCUUUAACUGACGCUGAGGCUCGAAAGCGUGGGGAGCAAACAGG
rnacentral:rRNA from 1 species